CCCGGCAAGGAUGGCUUGUCGAGGAGGAAGGCUGCAGAGCCCCGGCCAUCUGAAAGCUAAGUGGAGGGUCUGGGAGGAGGGGACAAGGUUGGGGAUUGGAGGGGAGGUUUUCAAAGUUGGUGUAGGGGAGAGGACUGGCAGGGCACAGUCCCCUUGGGGCAGGUCAAGGGACGGGUUACUCUUCAGCACAAUGUCAGCGUGUACAGGGCAGGGCAGCUCCAACCUGUGUCUGGCGUGUACUUCGUGUCGUCUGUUUUCUGUGUCUCAGACUGUAUGUUCUUUGGCUCUUGGUGCCUCCAUAGCUCGGUGACCAGCAGGCACCUCGGUAGCCCUCCCAAGAGUCCGGAAUGCAUCACUUCACAGGCACAGAGCCUGUUGAGCCCUUCUCAUCUCACAAUUACAGCUUGAUGCGUGCAUCUCUUUGGCGUGUGUCACAUCCUGGCUGUUUCUGAGCGUUCAUCUCUUGCAGUGGCCAGCCAGGUCUGCUUUAGAGCAUCCGUGCCAUUGUGGCACUGCAAGGCUUCUCUGCCAGCAUCACCUUCCCUGUGGGAAUCUUUCACUGAGCAAGGACAAGAGACUUAUAGAAAGUUACAAAGGUCUUGUGAAAAAAAUCCUGAUCUUGUUGAAACAAGAAGAUGGGGAAGCACGUGCUUUGCUUAAAAUGUGGCAGAAUUGCUGAAGUUGCUGUAGCUGAGCGACGUCUGCUCGUGACAAAAUCAACAAUAUGGAAACCAGACCUUCAGCAUUUAGGCUGCCCACCUCCAACUAAGACCUACCCACUGUGUGUGCUGUAUCUCGCAAUCAGAGGGAGAAAUUCACUAACCAAUCAGAGUAGAGUAACUGUGAACAUGUAUUAGGUGGAGGAAACUAACCACAAGUGCAUAAAUGUACAUAGCCUUGCUACUUCAGGGGGCAGCUUUGUGUCUAACCCCCUCUUGCCUUGUGUUUGCCUAAAUGAAUGAAAUUAAUUAAAAUACCUUGGCUCUGUAUGCAUUUUGGCAUCUUGCAUACCAGGUGAAUGACCCCACUUUUGGUAUAACGAGGUAUAACACUCGGGGUGUCCGUGUGUAGUCCUGGUCUGUGUGUGAGGGUUGGAGCUGCCCUGCCCAGGGAUGCAGCAGUACUGAUGGCAGGGUAGCAUAGCUUUAUGGGGCUGUGGAAGUAAGUUGGUUUGGACCAGUUCUGUUGGCAGAGACCAUACGGUCCAUCUCUGGGCAAACAGUUGUAGGCAGCUGCCACAGUUGUGUUCACUUUUCUUUAUGGUCCGGGGCUAGGAUUGGAUCCAGCCGCACCUAGACUCCUCUGAGAAGGAGUUUAGAAAGCAAGGGGGUCCAGUCUGAACCUCGUGACUGGUUGGGAGCAGCAGUUAGUGUGGAAGGGGAGCGGGUCAGAUCUGGAAGGUGCCUUAGCUUGCACAGAUGGGGCUCCCUAGCUGGCUUUUCUUCUAGCUGUAGUGAGAAGGUAUAUGCAAAAGGCAGAGAGACCUCUGGCCUCACCAAGCUACCUGUGGUUGUGCGGGUGACUUGCUUUACAGGGUGUGUUUGUGUUGUUUCAGAUGCAGAGCAACAAGCAGCAAGGCCAAGGGCACGGAAGAGGGGAGCAGAGUGCCGGCUGAAGAAGGACAGGCAUCCAGCGCCGGAGUAUCGGCAGGACAGCUGGUGGUUCUGACAAGCUUGAGCUUCUCUGGCUGGAUUUUCUGGGUGCAAAUCCAAGUGUGAAGCGAGAUGUUAUCAGCAGAGCGGCCUCUGGCAAGGUGGUACACAAGCCCUCCUAGUCCCCUGGGGUCCCUGCCUGGAUUGUUCAGGAUGGCCUGGUGCUGUGCAUUGCAUUUCCAGAGACAAACAGCAGCUUGGCAGCUUGUGGUCAGGACUCCGGAGAGAUUUGGGAAGGCCCCAGAGCACCUUCUGCAUCCUCUCACAGUCAGCAUGUGAGUGAAGUGAUGCAGGAUUCCCACCUCCGUGCCAGUCCUGCGUGUCAUCCUCUUCCCCCGUGGUUCCAGACUGUCAGCAUAGGAGAGACUUGCUUCCCCUCCAGGUCCAAGUGUUUCCCAGUGCAUGAGGGACCUGCCACAGAACCUAAGCUUUCCUAUUGCAUUGAUUGAAGAGCUGCAUAACACUUAGAGCCUGGUGUAGGUUGGCUUCUUCCUGCUAAGAAGCCAUUUCUUCACAAAAUGCUUUUUUUGUCUAAGAUGGAGACAUACAAGUCUCCAUACAAGCGGUGACCAGAUCUGUGCUGGAAAAUGGACUUGAUGGAAAGUACCAAACUUCUCUGUUGUUGCAAUCCGUAAUGAUUUUUUUGGCCUCAAAUGUUUUUUGUGCUGCUUCUCAAACACACUUUCCCAGCCUUUUUUUAAAUGUAAGCAGACAUUGAUAGAAAAACCAGCACUCAGAAUAUUGAUGGAAAAAUAAUUCUGAACAAUUUCAGAACUUCACAGACUUGUUUAUAAGACUUACUUCUUUGAAAAAGUGACACACUUGUUGCUAAUCAAUUAAUAACGCAUUAUUUUUCACUUCAUAAUGGAGUCACAAGCUGCUGUCGCCAGACCCUGGUCUCUGGGAGGCUCUUUGUAGAAAAUCAUGCAUAGGAAUAGGAUCAUCCUCUAGGAAAGCUGGAAACACUGUGGUUCAUAAGUUGGAUUUUUUUGUGGAGUAAAACCUGGCCGUGUUGGGCAAGCCUCCUGGAAAUACCCCUGAUUUCCUAGGAACUUGCUGGAGAAAUCCCAAGGCAGACUGACCAUGACACCUGAAGCAGAUACCAGCCACUGGUGUGUUCAGAUGCUGAACAAAUAUUUCUCAUACUCCCUUUCAACCGCUGGAAACCUGCCAGAGGUAAAUCCCAUCUUUAAUUUCUGGAGCUUUGCUGUUUUCCUUAUUUUUCUGCCUAAGGUGCAUGAUCUGAGGUCUUAGUGUUUGAACUUGGACUGGAAGAUGCAGUUAAAAUACUCAUCUUUAUGCAGAAAGCAACCAGGGAAGACAUUCUCAAGUCUCAAGAGGAGCUUCUGCUCCUCUGUCUCAUGAUAGAAGAGGAAAAUGAUAAUGAAAUGUGAAACUCUGAAGUAGCUCAGUGAGUUUCAGUGUUCUGCUUAUUAUAGGGACAACUGAAAUUCCCCAUAUAGAUUCUGUGCUUUAAAAAGCAACAGUUCAGAUGAACAAAACUGAUCUCAGCUGGUGCAUUUCUUUACCAAGUGGGGUUCUAUGGUCUCUUUGAGCAGUCUAUCAGCUGAACUGCUGGGAUUUUCCAUUUAUUCUUUUCUUUUAAAGUUGAUUUUACAUGACUAAGAGUGAGUUAUGUGGAAAAUCAACUCCAGGAAGCUUAUCUCAGUGAAACCCAAGAAAAGGUAACAUGCAUAAAUUAGGAUGAGCUAUAUCCCGAGAUAAACUUUAUUAAUCAGGUUAAAAGAAGAUGCAGAGACCUGAGAGUAUUUUAAUGUUACAUAAAUAAUUUUUUAUUUAUAUAACAGCAUUGCCUGACUUGGUUUGUUUCUCCAUGCAGAAAAACUCAUAGGUAUGUAAAGCAAAAAGCUCUGGUCUUAAGAGGCAGUAUGGGUUACUUUAAUAUAUGCCAAUUGGUGUGGGGAGAAACUCAUUCUAUUGUAGUAAAAAUAUCUCCAUCUUAAUAGACCUAGCAGACUUUGUUUACAAAAGCUUUAGUACCAAAAAAUACAUUAAUAAAAGAGGCUAGAAAAAUAUAUUGGAAAUAUUAGUCUGUACUUGCAAAGGAUUCUUUUAACAAUUUUAAAUAAAGAUUUUCCAGAAUUUGGGGGGGGGGGGAGAAAAAGAAAUUUACCUGGAAAACCAUGCUGACUGCAAGAGGAAGAACACCAUUUGGCAUCUGAUUUUUUUUUAUUUUUAUUUUUUACUGUUUUUUGUUACCUAACCAAACACUUUGACUUACUGGUUUUAUCAAAGCUAAAAGAAAUUGUGAGAACAUCCCACACUAAUUUGAAAUUAAUUUGUUGUCUAAUCUAAAAUACUCUAAAAUAACCUCUGUCUCUGAGCAGGGCUUGGCCUGCUAAAGUCACAGCUCUGAUCUUGAGGGAGUGAGUCCUCAGAGAAGAGCAGGGACAGGACUGAUGUCAUUCACAGCAUUUUUCCCUGGCUGCCUGGAGCCUGAUAGCUGGUUCCAGGUCUUCUACCUUCAGCAGGGAUCAGUGGGAAUCUCAGCAGGAGGUUUAAACACCCCCAUCUGUCUCCCAGCAAAGGUCUGCUGUUGUGUGUUCACAUCUCCUUCACACUUUCCCUGCUCCUGCAUUUUCUCCAAGAUCUUUUCUCCUCCUCUUUUGAGGAAGAUGCCAGAGUGACAGUAACAAAAGCUGGAACUUUUGGUAAAAAUACAUUCAAUAUUUCUGCAUGUCAUGGACUUCUAGGCAGUGUUAGGUGCUUGCUGCAGCUACAGCCAUCUCCAGGUUUUCUCUUAACUUUCUGCAAGGGAGCUGUGCACAGUGGUAAAUAGCAUGAUGCAAAUCAGACUCACCAUAAACUCCUGUGAGAUGGGCAGUUGUUGUACAGAGCAUCUUUGAAAGGGGAGCAAAAGCAAAGCUCAAGGGAUGACAUGAUACCUCUCUAAUGGUUUCCUGACUGAUUUGCAUGUAUGCAGAUUUAUGCAUUCUGUUUGUAUGUACUUGUUUCCCAAAGCUCUGUAUGAUUCAUUUAUUUCAUCCUGGUUUUGUAGUAGCUUGAAAUUUAUCCAUGCACUGUUCAGGAUCUGGUCCUAUUGCCCUCAAAAGUGUUGAGGUUCCUCAAUCACAUUCAGCUGUUCCCCCUAAAUGACUUCUUCAGGAUCAGGUUGGAAGCACCUGAAGAACAGAAACAGUCUUUUCUUAUGCUGUAAUGACAGGUGCAUUUUCACUUUGUCAGUUAAAAGGUAACUAGGUCCACAGAUGAGGCUCUGGAGGAAUGGUUCAAGAUGCAGCUUCUCCCAGCUCAGAUGCAUUACACAGACUUGCAGGCUGCUGCUGAGCAGCUGCUGGUGGAGAAGAAAGAAGAGUCAUCCAUCACGUGGGGAAGGAACCGUGAGUCAAGAACGAGCGAGAAGAGGAGCAGAGGACUGAAGGGGAGGAAGGAGCAAGGCACUGUGGG